CCCACGUUUACGAUUCCACUCGUGUAACGUUAUACGAAAAUGUUACACGUUUACGAUUCCACUCGUGUAACGUGUAAAUACGAAGGUCGCGGGUUCGAAUCCCAGCCGCGGUCAAGUAGAAUUUUCUGCUUGCCCGGUUUGGUAUACACUCGUAUGAACACAACUCAAAAAACCACUACAUAUAUAUAUAUCUCUCUCUCUAUAUCUCUCUCUC